AGGAAGAGAGACCCUGUAAUUAAUCUGUAUGGCCAGUUUGGUUUUAGUACUUCAAAUUUCAGUGCUGAACCAAAGCCUGUUGGGCUCUCCAUUCCAGGCACUCUGUUUCAGGACCUCAUUCUGCAGGUUCUUAACUCGUGCUUGGCUUGUGACUCCAAUGAAAUUGCUCAAGUACAUCAGCUGUAAAUAGACUUAGACCUUAGAAUUAGGCCUAAUUAACCCUUAAAAAUAAGAAAAAUGAACAAGUGCCUGAAUUAAAUGUUAACUGAACACCAACUCUCCUCAAAGCUAUGUCAACUACUAAAGUAUUUUUUUUAUAAUUGAUAAUGUUGUGCACAUUACUGUCUUGUGUAGCACAGCAGGAACAGUUUAACUGUCAAGACCCAUUCCUCAUCUCUCCUCCUUGAAAUCCUGAGCUAUUUUUUCUGUGUAUUCUGAAACAAAAAUAAGGUCUUGAAUCAUUUCCUGCUUCUGCAUAGGAGGCCCAGUGAGCAGACUGUUUUACAUGUCUGUAAAUCCUGCAGGAAUGUCCAAACCAGCCCAGUAUAAUGUUGGGCUUGUUUCCAAAGCUUAUGGAGAUGUGGGGCUUGGUGAGUUGCACGGAAGCAGGAAAGACAAGGAAGUUCUGCAAGAAUGAAAAUAAAUAGUGACUUUGGAACAAAACACUUGGUUGCAAGUGCAGGAGCUCUCCUCUAGAGUUGUCCUAAGAUGGGGUCACAGCAGCUGCUGUGAGUUAGGAGGUGCCUCAACAAAAGUGGUCAUUGUUCUAUACUCCAGAAGUUCUAGUUUAUUUUAGUCUUGCUUUCCCUGUAGAAAUUUAGGUUAUCAAAAAAGAUGUAUUUGUUUUCCACUCCUAGGAGCUAUUAGUUUCCAUUCUGGCUUCCAAAGAGAUUGUACAGCUCUAAUUAGAGCCCUGCCAACUGACUGAUCUGCCAUUCCUCUUGAGUUUCUGGUUCAACAGGAAUGUUCGUCCAUAAGCCUUAAGUUUAUUCCUAAACCCCCUGACCUAAUGCCACAAACCAAAACAGCCCUAAGGUGACUGUUCUGAGAAUGGAGUGCCCCCAGCAGAACAGUGCAGGGAUCCUGAGACCAUUUCACACAUUCCAUAGUUCUUUAAGCUCUUUAGUCAGUCACCUGGUCCCACAGAACUCUCCCUGCUGGACUGGCACCUCCCAAGGGCUUUGGACAUAAUCACACUCGAAGGCCAUGUGGAUCCUGCAGGCUUCAACAGCAAGACACAGGCUAAGGGAGCUACCAUAAAUUCUGACAUUACACCAUUUCUAAGGCCCAUGGAUUUUUCAUUCAAAAAUGAAAACCAAAAAUAUAUCAAAAUACAGAUGCUGGUCUUCAGAAAAAUUUUAGAAGUUCCCAGAUAUUUGUUUUGAAAGUAACUGAACCCUGAGGUUUAGGUAAUAUUUCUUGAUAAUUUUAUGCAGCAGAAAGGCUUCAUUCCUCACAAAAAAAAAAAACCAAACUGUCCCAGAAACAUCACUGCAUAAACUACACACUUCCUACACCACAAUGUUCAUUACUGAGAAAUAAACCCACUUACUUGAAUGUGGAUUCAAAUAUAUAUGCUAAUGUUAAACUGUUCUGGCUCCCCCAAAAAGUGCAAAUCUUUUCUGUAGGAAUAUUUAGAUGGGGAAAAAAAAAAAGGGUAUCCCAAAACAUGACUCAUAGUGAAAUGGAGUAAGAUCUCUUAACUGAGAGGAGCUUCACAAAUCUCCAGCAACAACUUUCAUGCUUUCUUUCACACUUUUUAUAUUUGUAAAGUGAGGUAACCUAUUCCUUUAAGAUCUAGACACAAGUCUGUGAUUUGAUACAAAAGUGAUUGUAAAGGCUACUUCAGUUUUUACUGUAGGAUUCACCAGAUUACUUAGAAAGCAAAAACACCUGUCAGCAGGUCGACCCAAAAUUUGUUUGGAUGCUAUAUUGAGAGACAAAAUAUUUUAGUCAUACCAAGAAAUAAUACCAUUUUUUAGCUGGCAGCCAAUUGUAUUAUUCUUUGAUUCCUGAAGUUUCCCAUGGCACUGACUGAUAGAAUUUUGCAUCUUACUUUGGUACAGUGUCUCAUAUUUUUGAGAAUUUCUUUUCAUGUUUUACAGAUUCCAUGGCUGAGUUUUGCUGUGCAGGGUAAGUCUCUUGUUACUGUCAGUGAUAUCCCUGAUCAAUUCUUCUCCCUUCCUGUUAGGAUGGAUGGACUGAAAUGCCAAAACCCCUGAUAUUCCUGCAGACAGAUGGGUCAAAGGGCUGAGGUCAAGCACAGACACGGAUUUGUUGGCCAGAAGAGACGAAGAAGGAAAUAUUUUUUCUUUGGUGGUGAACCCACCCUGUGGUAUAACUACAUCUGUUCUUUGUACUUUCUCUUAAGCUAAAACUGCACCUCAAGAAUACUUCAGGGAACUUGCCAGCACAGCUGAGGUGGAGUUUGAGGCCUGAAGAUGGAACUCCCUGGC